rnacentral:rRNA from 1 species
UGUUGGUUUCAGUACAAAUAAUAUGCUGUCUAAGUAAUACAUCUAACUAAAGUGACAAAAAGACCCUUUGAAGCUUUAUAGGGAUAAAACUUUGAUUGCAUUUUAUUAGCUUAGGCCGCUCAAAGAUCUAUAUCUGAGGUGUGCCUUAAUAAAUUUAUUUAUUGGUCUUGCCU